AGCGAACGCUGGCGGCAGGCCUAACACAUGCAAGUCGAACGAACCUUUCGGGGUUAGUGGCGGACGGGGGAGUAACACGUGGGAACGUGCCUUUAGGUGCGGAAUAACUCAGGGAAACUUGUGCUAAUACCGAAUGUGCCCUUCGGGGGAAAGAUUAAUCGCCUUUAGAGCGGCCCGCGUCUGAUUAGCUAGUUGGUUGAGGUAAUGGCUCACCAAGGCGACGAUCAGUAGCUGGUCUGAGAGGAUGAUCAGCCACAUUGGGACUGAGACACGGCCCAAACUCCUACGGGAGGCAGCAGUGGGGAAUCUUGCGCAAUGGGCGAAAGCCUGACGCAGCCAUGCCGCGUGAAUGAUGAAGGUCUUAGGAUUGUAAAAUUCUUUCACCGGGGACGAUAAUGACGGUACCCGGAGAAGAAGCCCCGGCUAACUUCGUG
rnacentral:rRNA from 1 species